CAGCCGCCGCGGUAAUACGAAGGGGGCUAGCGUUGCUCGGAAUGACUGGGCGUAAAGGGCGCGUAGGCGGUUUGUACAGUUGGAUGUGAAAUUCCUGGGCUUAACCUGGGGGCUGCAUUCAAUACGUGCAGGCUUGAGUGGGGAAGAGGGUCGUGGAAUUCCCAGUGUAGAGGUGAAAUUCGUAGAUAUUGGGAAGAACACCGGUGGCAAAGGCGGCGACCUGGUCCUUGACUGACGCUGAGGCGCGAAAGCGUGGGGAGCAAACAGGAUUAGAUACCCCCGUAGUCCCUGUCUCUUAUAC
rnacentral:rRNA from 1 species